AGUCGUUACCCUAACCCUUUUGGGAGGGGGAUGCCGAAGGCAGGGUUGGUGACUGGGGUGAAGUCGUAACAAGGUAGCCGUACCGGAAGGUGUGGCUGGAUCACCUCCUUUACAGGGAGACCAACUGAGACCGACUCGAAGCCAAAGAGGCGAGAGUGGUUUUCAGGUCAACCGAGGUCGAAGGGUAGAAGACCAGGCUCUCAAACUAUUAUAGGUUCGGUUAGGGGCUAUUAGCUCAGGUGGUUAGAGCGCACCCCUGAUAAGGGUGAGGUCCCUGGUUCGAGUCCAGGAUGGCCCACAUCUAUUAAAAUAACAGGUGAAGCGGCUAACAAAAGGCCAAAAGCUAAUCAAGGCCAAGAAAAAAAAGACGGUAAAAAAGAACAGCACCGGAACUGCCUGAAAAAACCAGUUCAGGAUGCUGGGCUUUGAGUCCAGUAAAGAACCAAGAAAAUUGCAUAGCGAAGUGUAGAAAAGCCAAAAAGUCGAGCCGCGAGCGAAACAGUGGAACAGGCUUAAUGCCUGUGCUCUGCGCGGUAAAAAAGAACAAAAAUGGUCAAGCUACAAAAGGCUAACGGUGGAUACCUAGGCAC
rnacentral:misc_RNA from 1 species